rnacentral:rRNA from 1 species
GAUGAACGCUGGCGGCGUGCCUAAUACAUGCAAGUCGAGCGAACGGACGAGAAGCUUGCUUUUCUGAUGUUAGCGGCGGACGGGUGAGUAACACGUGGAUAACCUACCCAUAAGACUGGGAUAACUUCGGGAAACCGGAGCUAAUACCGGAUAAUAUUUUGAACCGCAUGGUUCAAAAGUGAAAGACGGUCUUGCUGUCACUUAUAGAUGGAUCCGCGCUGCAUUGGCUAGUUGGUAAGGUAACGGCUUACCAAGGCAACGAUGCAUAGCCGACCUGAGAGGGUGAUCGGCCACACUGGAACUGAGACACGGUCCAGACUCCUACGGGAGGCAGCAGUAGGGAAUCUUCCGCAAUGGGCGAAAGCCUGACGGAGCAACGCCGCGUGAGUGAUGAAGGUCUUCGGAUCGUAAAACUCUGUUAUUAGGGAAGAACAUAUGUGUAAGUAACUGUGCACAUCUUGACGGUACCUAAUCAGAAAGCCACGACUAACUACGUG